rnacentral:rRNA from 1 species
UACGGAGGGGGCUAGCGUUGUUCGGAAUUACUGGGCGUAAAGCGCGCGUAGGCGGCUUCGCAAGUCAGAGGUGAAAGCCCGGGGCUCAACCCCGGAAUUGCCUUUGAGACUGCGUCGCUAGAAUCCGGGAGAGGUGAGUGGAAUUCCGAGUGUAGAGGUGAAAUUCGUAGAUAUUCGGAAGAACACCAGUGGCGAAGGCGGCUCACUGGACCGGUAUUGACGCUGAGGUGCGAAAGCGUGGGGAGCAAACAGG